rnacentral:rRNA from 1 species
GAUGAACGCUGGCGGCGUGCCUAAUACAUGCAAGUCGAGCGAACAGAUAAGGAGCUUGCUCCUUUGACGUUAGCGGCGGACGGGUGAGUAACACGUGGGUAACCUACCUAUAAGACUGGAAUAACUCCGGGAAACCGGGGCUAAUGCCGGAUAACAUUUAGAACCGCAUGGUUCUAAAGUGAAAGAUGGUUUUGCUAUCACUUAUAGAUGGACCCGGGCCGUAUUAGCUAGUUGGUAAGGUAACGGCUUACCAAGGCAACGAUACGUAGCCGACCUGAGAGGGUGAUCGGCCACACUGGAACUGAGACACGGUCCAGACUCCUACGGGAGGCAGCAGUAGGGAAUCUUCCGCAAUGGGCGAAAGCCUGACGGAGCAACGCCGCGUGAGUGAUGAAGGUCUUCGGAUCGUAAAACUCUGUUAUUAGGGAAGAACAAAUGUGUAAGUAACUGUGCACGUCUUGACGGUACCUAACCAGAAAGCCACGGCUAACUACGUG